rnacentral:piRNA from 1 species
UGUGACGGACAGAUUUUACUGGUGAC